AGUGAACGCCGGCGGUAGGCCUAACACAUGCAAGUCGAACGGCAGCACAGGAGAGCUUGCUCUCUGGGUGGCGAGUGGCGGAUGGGUGAGGAAUACAUCGGAAUCUACUCUGUCGUGGGGGAUAACGUAGGGAAACUUACGCUAAUACCGCAUACGACCUACGGGUGAAAGCAGGGGAUCUUCGGACCUUGCGCGAUUGAAUGAGCCGAUGUCGGAUUAGCUAGUUGGCGGGGUAAAGGCCCACCAAGGCGACGAUCCGUAGCUGGUCUGAGAGGAUGAUCAGCCACACUGGAACUGAGACACGGUCCAGACUCCUACGGGAGGCAGCAGUGGGGAAUAUUGGACAAUGGGCGCAAGCCUGAUCCAGCCAUACCGCGUGGGUGAAGAAGGCCUUCGGGUUGUAAAGCCCUUUUGUUGGGAAAGAAAUCCAGCUGGCUAAUACCCGGUUGGGAUGACGGUACCCAAAGAAUAAGCACCGGCUAACUUCGUGCCAGCCGCCGCUGUAA
rnacentral:rRNA from 1 species